rnacentral:rRNA from 1 species
UACGUAGGGUGCGAGCGUUGCCCGGAUUUAUUGGGCGUAAAGGGCGCGUAGGCGGCUUGGCACGUCCGUUGUGAAAUCGCCCGGCUCAACUGGGCGGGGUCAGCGGAUACGGCCGAGCUUGAGCAAGCUAGGGGGCAAUGGAAUUCCCGGUGUAGUGGUGGAAUGCGUAGAUAUCGGGAGGAACACCAGUGGCGAAAGCAGCUUUCUGGGACGGUACUGACGCUGAGACGCGAAAGCGUGGGGAGCGAACAGG